UACGUAGGGUGCGAGCGUUGUCCGGAAUUAUUGGGCGUAACGAGCUUGUAGGCGGUUUGUCGCGUCUGCUGUGAAAAUCCGGGGCUCAACCCCGGACUUGCAGUGGGUACGGGCAGACUAGAGUGUGGUAGGGGAGACUGGAAUUCCUGGUGUAGCGGUGAAAUGCGCAGAUAUCAGGAGGAACACCGAUGGCGAAGGCAGGUCUCUGGGCCACUACUGACGCUGAGAAGCGAAAGCAUGGGGAGCGAACAGG
rnacentral:rRNA from 1 species